CAGGUUGUUGUCAUUCAUUUUAUGAAAAACUUACUGUAUAGAACUCUAGAACUUUGGCUCCUAGCAGGACAAAUGUGUUAGCCAAUGUGUGACCUUGGCUGAAUCCUUCAUUUCUCUUUCCCAGGGCAUUCUGGCCUCAGGGCUCAGUCACAACGAAGGCCCACAGAGAAGGGGUGCUGGUGGGUGACUGCAAGAUCGAUGUGACUUGAGGGCGACCAAGGAAAGACUGGGGCCCUGUGUGAGGUCCUUAAUAAGGCACUUGCCCUCCCCCUUCUUUGCUGAAAGAAACCGCACUGACGCUACAGAAACAGGAAAACCAGGACCCAGUCAUCAGCCAGCUCAGACCAAUGGACAGGGCUUUUUCUCGGGUGCCUGCCUGGUUUGCAACCUGCCUUUGACACGUGUUGGCCUGCGGGGUCCCAGCCCCUCCUGUGAGGGGUGAGGGAAGGGUUGUACCCUAAGGAUGUGGAGAAGGAUAAGCUGCAAAUCUACCAGGCCUCUCUCUCUAUCGAAGGGCAAGAUUUCACAGUGAUAUCCUCAAAUAAUUUUGCAUAAUAUGAGUACUAUUUUGUACUUUGAUUUUUCACAUAAAUGUGUCGCUUGGUAUCUGUAACCUUCAUUUUCAAUGCCUGCAAAUUAUGGGAUCUAACAUGUUUUUAGGCUUUAUUUAACUAUUCAAACAGUACUUGACAUUUGAGCUACUUUCAAGUUUUCAUUAUAAUAAAUAAUGUUGCAA
rnacentral:lncRNA from 1 species